UAUUUCAACUGAAAAAGUUAUCAACAACAAAGUUGAAUAACUCAUCAAGAUCUAAAACUUUUAUUUUGAUCAAUUAUUCAUCCGAUAAAUUGAUACUAACAUUGUUCACAAAAUUGACGUAUCUCUUAUCUGGUUUUAUAAACUAUAACACAUAUAUGUAAAAUUUGUGAACAAUAUUACUAACACUUUGUCGGAUUAAAAAAUAACAAAAAUAAAAGUUUUAGAUCUUGAUGAGUUAUACAACUUUGUUGUUGAUGACUUUUUCAGUGGAAGUC
rnacentral:pre_miRNA from 1 species